rnacentral:ncRNA from 1 species
CUCGCCGCCGGGACCGGCUUCGACGCCGACGCCACCGUGGCCGUCGACGCCGAGUCCCGGGACGAGACGACAUGUGGCCGCCUCGCGGCUGAAUCGCAAC